GAGGCAUGCAAGGGCUGUCGCUGACUUUUUUAAUCACAAAAAGUCGUGCACGCCGGAGCGUGUCCUCUCGCAUAAAAUCCAUCUCACCCUUUUGUGCACCACCGCGUGGGCACCCUUUGGGAUCGAACCGAUCCAGGAGGGCGCUUGCGUUUUCACACAAACCCCCUUAUAAAAGUGUAGAAUGACCCCACUUUUGCGAUAACACGCAAUCAAUACAACUUUCAACAACGGAUCUCUUGGCUCUCGCAUCGAUGAAGAACGCAGCGAAAUGCGAUACGUAAUGUGAAUUGCAGAAUUCAGUGAAUCAUCGAAUCUUUGAACGCACCUUGCGCCCCUUGGUAUUCCGAGGGGCACACCCGUAUGAGUGUCNGUGAAAAUCUCAACCUCCUCGGUUUCUUCUGGACGCCGAAGGAGGCUUGNACUUUGGAGGCCUUUGCUGGCGUCUCUCGCCAGCUCCUCUCAAAUGAAUUAGCGGGGUCCUCUUUGCCNNAUCCUCGACGUGUGANAAGAUGUUUCCAUGUCUUGGNUUCUGGCUCUGUCGCCUUUUGGGACCCGCUUCUAACCGUCUCAAGUCGAGACAACGUUUGAGCGUGUCUCCCUUCUCGGGAAACACCCUCGAGCCACGAACCCUUGA
rnacentral:rRNA from 1 species